GCCAUAGUGACCUUGGAACCAGGAUUGCAAAGCGAGGAACCCAGUCAGCUGGCUCUGCAUGGAAGCCUUGAGAGGAACUCCAUGGUGUUGCAUGUGCGUAAGCAGAAUGAGCGCUAAUGUGUGAUGACACAACGACAGGGCUGGUCCUCUGGUGCCUUAGAGAGACUGGAGCAUGUGUAAACAUUCGGUGAAGGAAAUUCCUCUGGAGCUGAGGAAGGGGCCCAACAAGGCUUUGGAGUCAAGAAACCAGUUUGGACAUUGCAGCCUGCUCAGCAUGGAAGCCCUAAGGAGCAAGGAGUGCUCUUGUUGAUCCAGGGCAGAGCAAAUGAGACGAGGAUGGGAUCUUAGUGGGACCAGUGUUAGGAAGGGCUGUGCUAAGAACGAGCUGGAUCUCCGCAGACACCCCGAGUCCUUGACAGGUUACUGGGGGCUGUUUAUACUUUGUUCUUGCCACACUUUUGAUGUAAAGAUCUCUUUAAAAGCUAAUUGAUGCUAAGGGGUUAAACGGAACUGGGGAUUUAGUCAUUGGCCCCCAAAAGUGAGAGAGAAUCCACAGUUAGUGGAGGCUCAAGCCAGUGAGAUUAGGGAGAUACUAGAUACCCUAAGGGUAUCCUAGGGGCAGCAAGGUGGCACAGUGCACA